CUUUACUGUAACUUGAAAUUGAAAUUGGACUUUACUUGCGCAGUAUAGGUGGGAGGCGUUGAAAAUCUUCUUGCGGGAGGAUUGGGGCCAUCAGUGAGAUACCACUCUUGUAAUGUUAGAUUUCUAACUUUGUAUCAUUAUCUGGUCAAAGAACAGUUUCAGGCGGGCAGUUUGACUGGGGCGGUCGCCUCCCAAACGGUAACGGAGGCGCACAAAGGUUUCCUCUGAACGGGUAGAAAUCGUAUCUAGAGUGUAAAGGCAUAAGGAAGCUUGACUGUGAGACUUACAAGUCGAGCAGGGACGAAAGUCGGUCUUAGUGAUCUGACGGUGCUGAGUGGAAAGGCCGUCACUCAACGGAUAAAAGUUA
rnacentral:rRNA from 1 species